AAGACAUCAGUUAUUUCUUUUUCAAACGUAAUGGAAUUUCCUUGCACGCUGCUAUUAAUUUAUCAUUUGCAGUGUCACGCAUCAUGGAUGCAGAUUCGAUCAUGCGCAACCAUUUCAUGCAAAACCAGAAAAUUGAAGGCAUUCAGUAGUUCCACACGUUCAAACUUGAAAUUACAUCCCCUAGCCUGCAAGAUUGACAUUGCCUGAAACUCUGUGAGCAUUAAUCGCAGAUCUGCUGACAUUCCCUUCCAGCCACGGGGAGGCCAUUUGAAUUUCGGUUCCAGGAAGGUAACUGCCUCAUCCUGGUCACACUCUCGCCGGGCUGGAGGAAACAAAGGCAUCGCGCCCAUGGCUAGCAGUUUCUUUGCUCUCACUUGGUUUGAUGGUGUUGGGGGAAGCCUUGGCACCAGAAAUUCAGAGUUUGCACUAGAAAUAAUCUCGGUUGGCACCGAACGACGAGCGACAGGGAUCCCAAUUGACAUUGAAACUUCAACACAGGCUGUUGGUUGAGAAGUUACACUGGAGACCUGGGGCACUGAAGACAUGGACAAAGAUGAAGUUUCAAUAGGGACGAUGGAGUUGCUGGCGAGAGGACUGUUUGAAGAGGAGGUUUCAGAAUAGUCGGCCUGGAUAAGAAGUUGUCCAGGGUAGCCCAUGGUGUCUUCAAAAGAAGAGAGAGCUGACAUCUCCAUUUCAUCCAAAAGUGGAGUUGAGCCACCUGAUGAAUCUGUUUCCAGGAAGAAAGAUGGGACACGAUUGAUUUUCAUAAAAGUU